GAUGAACGCUGGCGGCGUGCUUAACACAUGCCAGUCGUACGAUGAAGCCCAGCUUGCUGGGUGGAUUAGUGGCGAACGGGUGAGUAACACGUGAGUAACCUGCCCUUAACUCUGGGAUAAGCCUGGGAAACUGGGUCUAAUACCGGAUAGGAGCGUCCACCGCAUGGUGGGUGUUGGAAAGAUUUAUCGGUUUUGGAUGGACUCGCGGCCUAUCAGCUUGUUGGUGAGGUAAUGGCUCACCAAGGCGACGACGGGUAGCCGGCCUGAGAGGGUGACCGGCCACACUGGGACUGAGACACGGCCCAGACUCCUACGGGAGGCAGCAGUGGGGAAUAUUGCACAAUGGGCGCAAGCCUGAUGCAGCGACGCCGCGUGAGGGAUGACGGCCUUCGGGUUGUAAACCUCUUUCAGUAGGGAAGAAGCGAAAGUGACGGUACCUGCAGAAGAAGCACCGGCUAACUACGUG
rnacentral:rRNA from 1 species